rnacentral:misc_RNA from 1 species
AAAAACAUUAAUUUUUGAAUAACUUGCACUUGUUCAAUUCUUAAAAAAGUUGUGAUUGAGUUAUAGCCAAUUGAGCAACAGUUUAUCAGGCAGAUCAAUACAUUCCACACUCUUGACAUAAUAAUCAGAUACGGAUGAGACGUUUUUUUCAAAAACUUGAACCAAAAUUGUGAUAUCCUUGCACAUAAAAUUUUGGUAGAAAAGAAUUAUUCAAAUUAAAUUGGAACAUCACAAAAUCUCUAGAACAGAUAAUUCAUGUCAGAUCUGGUUAUAAAACGGUCAUCAGUAAAGAAAAAGAGAGAAUCGUUAACAUAUAAGUAAUUUUUACCCUCACGGCUGAAGAAAUAAAAAUCAAACCCUGAAAUACAAAAACCCAGCUAAAAAGAACACCAUAUCGUGUAUGAACAACAACAGAUCUAUUCUAGAAACAACAUAGAACACAUAAAGACUGAGACUUUCCCAUACCUGACGCGAAAUAAACCUAAUCUUGAUCAGAUCUAGCAAAACCAAAGCGAAAAAAACAACAACGAUAGAAUAAAAAGAACGAUGAAUCAGAGGAUAGAUCUAAUACCUUAGGCGGUUCAGGAAGAACAU